UAGAGUUUGAUCCUGGCUCAGAUUGAACGCUGGCGGCAGGCCUAACACAUGCAAGUCGAGCGGUAGCAGGAAGUGCUUGCACUUCGCUGACGAGCGGCGGACGGGUGCGUAACACGUAGGAAUCUGCCCGGUAGUGGGGGAUAGCCCGAAGAAAUUCGGAUUAAUACCGCAUACGCCCUAAGGGGGAAAGCAGGGGCCCCGUUCUUUUUUAAAGAGUGGACCUUGCGCUAUCGGAUGAGCCUGCGUCGGAUUAGCUUGUUGGUGGGGUAAAGGCCCACCAAGGCAACGAUCCGUAGCUGGUCUGAGAGGAUGAUCAGCCACACUGGGACUGAGACACGGCCCAGACUCCUACGGGAGGCAGCAGUGGGGAAUAUUGCACAAUGGGCGCAUGCCUGAUGCAGCCAUGCCGCGUGUGUGAAGAAGGCCCUAGGGUUGUAAAGCACUUUCAGUGGGGAGGAAAGGUUUGCGGUUAAUACCCGCAAGCUGUGACGUUACCCACAGAAGAAGCACCGGCUAACUCCGUGCCAGCAGCCGCGGUAAUACGGAGGGUGCGAGCGUUAAUCGGAAUUACUGGGCGUAAAGCGUGCGUAGGCGGCUUUUUAAGUUGGAUGUGAAAGCCCCGGGCUUAACCUGGGAACUGCAUCCAAAACUGGAAGGCUCGAGUGCGAGAGAGGAGUGUGGAAUUUCCUGUGUAGCGGUGAAAUGCGUAGAUAUAGGAAGGAACACCAGUGGCGAAGGCGACACUCUGGCUUGACACUGACGCUGAGGUACGAAAGCGUGGGGA
rnacentral:rRNA from 1 species